rnacentral:rRNA from 1 species
ACUCCUACGGGAGGCAGCAGUGGGGAAUUUUGCGCAAUGGGGGAAACCCUGACGCAGCAACGCCGCGUGGAGGAUGAAGUCCCUUGGGACGUAAACUCCUUUCGACCGGGACGAUAAUGA